rnacentral:ncRNA from 1 species
AAACUUUGGAGAAUCCCGUUUAAAGCGGGUGCCGAAGGGGCAAAGUGGAUCACACGAAUCUCUCAGGCAAAAGGACAAAGUG